rnacentral:RNase_P_RNA from 2 species
UGAGUAGGUCGGAUGGUCGCGGAUGUUUACAUCCGAGGAAAGUCCGAGCUCCACAGGGCAGGGUGCUGGGUAAUACCCAGUGAGGGCGACCUCAAGGAAAGUGCAACAGAAAUAUACCGCCUAACGUUUAACCGUUAGGUAAGGGUGGAAAGGUGAGGUAAGAGCUCACCAGCACACUGGUGACAGUGUGGCUCUGUAAACCCCACCCGGAGCAAGACCAAAUAGGGGAGCUAUGUGGUGGCCCGCCACGCUCCCGGGUAAGGUCGCUGGAGGUGUCAGGCAACUGACGCCCUAGAUAGAUGACCAUCCAAGACAGAACUCGGCUUAUAGACCUGCUCAUAGU